GCCGCCUUCCAUUCCCUCUCCGCUCCCGGCCUUGCAGCGCUGCUUGCUCCCCUCCCCCGCCUUGUCCCUGCCGCGGGGCCCGUGCGGGCUGGGUGAGAAUUUCCCCUUGCGGGCUCCAUGUCCCCUUCUCGCCCGCGGUGGCGGGGCGGCGCCCAGCCUCGGGAGAGAGGCAGUAACGCCGCGAGGGGAGCGCUGCUCGGCUCCUUCCAUUGCGGACCAGGCCCCUUCGCCUGGCUAAUCGAGCCGCUGGUUUCAUCUUAAUUCGCCUUCCCUGCCAGCAGAGCCAGAGAAACAGGCGGUGCUACAUUAUCGCGCCACGGAGAAAGAGGAGCUGAGCGAGAUCGCUUGCGCACUGAUGCAGAUAUUUGGAGGCAACAGCGGUCUUCAUUUGGUCUGGACUCUGGCAGAGUUUUCCACAUUCUUCUGCCGUUUCAACAUAUUGGCUCUUUAAAGCAGGAUUAUAAUCACUUUGAGGCCAGGUUUAAAAAAAAAAUCACCCCCUCUCCACCACCAGAGGAAUGACCUACAUCGUUGACCACAAAUAUCCCUUCAAGGAGCUACAUUCUUUGUAAAACUAAUUUGUUUUAUUUUUAACUAAAGAGAGACAAAAUAAUCCUGAAAACCUAAAACCCAAUUGAAGCAGAGAGAAAAAAUUAAAGGGGUGACUUUGUUCUGUUAGCAGUUCCAAGACUGUUUUCAUCCCAAAUACAGGUCACAUUUGCCAACUUA